rnacentral:rRNA from 1 species
UACGAAGGGGGCUAGCGUUGUUCGGAAUUACUGGGCGUAAAGCGCGCGCAGGCGGUUCUUUAAGUCAGGGGUGAAAGCCCAGAGCUCAACUCUGGAAUUGCCUUUGAAACUAGAGAACUUGAGUACGGGAGAGGUGAGUGGAAUUCCGAGUGUAGAGGUGAAAUUCGUAGAUAUUAGGAAGAACACCAGUGGCGAAGGCGGCUCACUGGCCCGGUACUGACGCUGAGGCGCGAAAGCGUGGGGAGCAAACAGG